GAUCCUGGCUCAGGACGAACGCUGGCGGCGUGCUUAACACAUGCAAGUCGAACGAGAAUCUGUGGAACGAGGAUUCGUCCAAGUGAAGCAGAGGACAGUGGCGGACGGGUGAGUAACGCGUGAGGAACCUGCCUUUCAGAGGGGGACAACAGUUGGAAACGACUGCUAAUACCGCAUAAGCGCACGGGGCCGCAUGGUCCUGUGUGAAAAACUCCGGUGGUAUAAGAUGGACCCGCGUUGGAUUAG
rnacentral:rRNA from 1 species